AUUGAACGCUGGCGGCAGGCCUAACACAUGCAAGUCGAGCGGAUGAAGGGAGCUUGCUCCUGGAUUCAGCGGCGGACGGGUGAGUAAUGCCUAGGAAUCUGCCUGGUAGUGGGGGAUAACGUCCGGAAACGGGCGCUAAUACCGCAUACGUCCUGAGGGAGAAAGUGGGGGAUCUUCGGACCUCACGCUAUCAGAUGAGCCUAGGUCGGAUUAGCUAGUUGGUGGGGUAAAGGCCUACCAAGGCGACGAUCCGUAACUGGUCUGAGAGGAUGAUCAGUCACACUGGAACUGAGAAACGGUCCCGACUCCUACGGGAGGCAGCAGUGGGGAAUAUUGGACAAUGGGCGAAAGCCUGAUCCAGCCAUGCCGCGUGUGUGAAGAAGGUCUUCGGAUUGUAAAGCACUUUAAGUUGGGAGGAAGGGCAGUAAGUUAAAACCUUGCUGUUUUGACGGUACCAAAAGAAUAAGCACCGGCUAACUUCGUG
rnacentral:rRNA from 1 species